GAUGAACGCUGGCGGCGUGACUAAUACAUGCAAGUCGAGCGAACGGACGAGAAGCUUGCUUCUCUGAUGUUAGCGGCGGACGGGUGAGUAACACGUGGAUAACCUACCUAUAAGACUGGGAUAACUUCGGGAAACCGGAGCUAAUACCGGAUAAUAUUUUGAACCGCAUGGUUCAAAAGUGAAAGACGGUCUUGCUGUCACUUAUAGAUGGAUCCGCGCUGCAUUAGCUAGUUGGUAAGGUAACGGCUUACCAAGGCAACGAUGCAUAGCCGACCUGAGAGGGUGAUCAGCCACACUGGAACUGAGACACGGUCCAGACUCCUACGGGAGGCAGCAGUAGGGAAUCUUCCGCAAUGGGCGAAAGCCUGACGGAGCAACGCCGCGUGAGUGAUGAAGGUCUUCGGAUCGUAAAACUCUGUUAUUAGGGAAGAACAUAUGUGUAAGUAACUGUGCACAUCUUGACGGUACCUAAUCAGAAAGCCACGGCUAACUACGUG
rnacentral:rRNA from 1 species